rnacentral:misc_RNA from 1 species
AACGCACAUUGCGCCCACUAGUAUUCUGGUGGGCAUGCCUGUUCGAGCGUCAUUUCAACCCUCAGACUUCUUCUGUAGUCUGGUGUUGGGGCCAUUUACGGCGCUCAGCCGUAAGCCCUGAAAGCGAGUGGCGGGUCUGUCAUCGCCCCGAGCGCAGUAAAACUUACAAACGCUUAGGGAGUGUAGACGGGUCCUGGCCGUUAAACAUAGGGGCUUCCGGCCUCUAUAUCUUCUACAAGGUUGACCUCGGAUCAGGUAGGAAUACCCGCUGAACUUAA